UACGUAGGGUCCGAGCGUUGUCCGGAAUUACUGGGCGUAAAGAGCUCGUAGGUGGUUUGUCGCGUUGUUCGUGAAAACUCACAGCUCAACUGUGGGCGUGCGGGCGAUACGGGCAGACUGGAGUACUGCAGGGGAGACUGGAAUUCCUGGUGUAGCGGUGGAAUGCGCAGAUAUCAGGAGGAACACCAACGGCGAAGGCAGCACUCUGGGCCGGUACUGACGCUGAGGAGCGAAAGCGUGGGGAGCAAACAGG
rnacentral:rRNA from 1 species